rnacentral:tRNA from 1 species
GCCCCGGUAACCCAAUUGGCAGAGGUAGCGGAUUCAAAACCCGCUCAGUGUGGGUUCGAGUCCCACCCGGGGCA